GUGGGGAAUAUUGGGCAAUGGGCGCAAGCCUGACCCAGCCACGCCGCGUGAGUGAUGAAGGCCUUCGGGUCGUAAAGCUCUGUGGGGAGGGACGAAACCACGCUGGCUAAUAUCCAGCGGUCUGACGGUACCUCCUUAGCAAGCACCGGCUAACUCCGUGCCAGCAGCCGCGGUAAUACGGAGGGUGCAAACGUUGCUCGGAAUUAUUGGGCGUAAAGCGUACGUAGGCGGUCCAGCAAGUCGGGUGUGAAAGCCCUUGGCUUAACCAAGGAAGUGCAUUCGAAACUACUGGACUUGAAUACUGGAGAGGAUCGCGGAAUUCCCGGUGUAGAGGUGAAAUUCGUAGAUAUCGGGAGGAACACCAGUGGCGAAGGCGGCGAUCUGGACAGAUAUUGACGCUGAUGUACGAAAGCGUGGGGAGCAAACAGGAUUAGAAACCCCGGUAGUCC
rnacentral:rRNA from 1 species